rnacentral:rRNA from 1 species
UACGUAGGUGGCAAGCGUUAUCCGGAAUUAUUGGGCGUAAAGCGCGCGCAGGUGGUUUCUUAAGUCUGAUGUGAAAGCCCACGGCUCAACCGUGGAGGGUCAUUGGAAACUGGGAGACUUGAGUGCAGAAGAGGAAAGUGGAAUUCCAUGUGUAGCGGUGAAAUGCGUAGAGAUAUGGAGGAACACCAGUGGCGAAGGCGACUUUCUGGUCUGUAACUGACACUGAGGCGCGAAAGCGUG